GCGUAUCAAUCGAGCUUGAGUUUGUCCGCGGCCGAUUUGGAUACAUGUCCGUUGCCUUUGGACAAUCGGUAUUUAGUGGAAGAUAUCUUUACGAAGAUUACUUUUCGUAAAAACGUUUAUGCUGAUUUUUACGGACUUUCAGACAUUGAUUCCGUCGUGACCGAUUUUGACCCCAACAGUGGGCACAAGACAUUUUGGGGAUGAACCAUUGGCCUUUUGAGGGGGGAAACAAGGUUUCCAUAGGAACGUAAUAUAAAAAUGCAUGUAUGUACUCAUGCUUAAGAAGGCGAUUAAGAUAGAUAGUUGUUUGGGACCGUGCUAAAUAAGGGUUCCAAUUAUUUGAAAAGGUAUGAAUGAUGUUGCAAUGACGAUUGAGUGUUUUACAUGUUUUAAACAAUUAGGUAUACAAAUCACGGUAGUCUAUACAAUAUGCGCCCAUAAAAAGUAUGAUUAUCCCGAUGUGAAAAUAUGUCUUCUCUUUCCUUGACUUAUAAAUAAAUUUUCUUAAGAGUCAAUUUUGGCAAUAGGUGUAAUUUAAGUGGACAAACUGAAACCAUAGUUAUAUAAAAAUAUGACAUACUACUCUAUAUCAAAAUAGUAUAGUCCACCCAAAUUAUCAUAGCCAACCGACAUUGUUCUACAUUCGUAAAUAGUAUGAUGGGGCUGAUGUAAAAAUAGUUGUGUACGAAUGCUUUCUCCUUUUUUAACAUAUACAUUAAAUGAAAUGUCAUGAUUGGAAUUAUGUGACCCUUACAUUUCACCAAAUUGAACCGCUUUAAUAUGCAACACCAACUUCCGGCUCCCCUCUUUUUGGUGCCUAUUUUGGAUUCCAACAUAUCUCCACUAACACAGUAACACAGUAUGCACAAACUAUACUAUAUUAAUAAUAGUAUAUCAAAUUUGCACUUAACAUAUAUUAGAUAUUGGCAGUUGCAUCUAUCUUAUAACUUUGGAUGUGUAUGCUAGUAUAUAAUAUGGACCUGCAAAACAACAGUACACAAAAAUAGCUUACUAAGACCAUGUUUAACGCAGUUUCUUAAAUGCGUUUCUUCCCCUUAAAAACACUAAAAAGUACUAAAAAUGAAAAGAAAGUGUUAGAAUAGUUUCUUUAAACAACAUUAUAAGAAACACACCUUAUACUUAAAAAACCAACUGUAGUUUUGUUAUUGGUCAGUUUUCUUACAAAGAAUUAAUUUUUUUUAUUUAUUUCAUUUAGAUUAACAAAAUUAUCCUUAUAUCAAUUAGAAACUCCAUACAAGGUUCUUCCCAUUAAUCAUGCCCUAAACAACCUAGAAGUAUUAGAUAACACAGAUGUCUGACUAUAUACCAAUUCAAGUGUACUAUAUUAUUUAUAAUGUAAUUCAUGAAUAGUAUCCAUGCAACACUUAUAACUUUCGAGACGCCGCCUCAUAUUUUCGGCAAUCAUUUACACUACCCCUAUACCUAACAUGAGUGUUUUACACUGCAGGGCAGUUUCCAAGUUUUUAUUACAAGAUAUGUCAGUUUCUGCUACUGGGACAGUUUCUGCUAAUUUGGGGUUGGUGAGAUGUGACUUGGUUCGUUUUCUUUUUGAAUCUGGUUUCUUUUCUCACAGCUAGUUGGACUUUCUAGUUAAGGUUUUGAAUUUUAAAUUUCAAUAAUUUUGUUGGACCCAAUUUUAGACCAAACCAGAUUUUUUUUCUUUCUAAUCUCCAUUACACUCAGACAGUAGCUCGUGGUGGUAGUGAUGCUCGAGAUCGGCUAUGGUGGUCAUCUCUUCAGUUGCACAAUGAAGCUCGAGCAACAAUGGCCAAAUUUCACUAAAUUUCAAAAUCUAAAGUUAGAAAUCAGUUUAGAAGUGAUAAAUAAACAAUCUUGAAGUGUAAUCUACACGUAAACGAAAAAAAUGAAAAUGCAUGAAAGAAAUCAAUGGCGGCCGCAAUGUUUGUUACAGGAAACCCUAAAAAAAUAUGGGAAACACGAAGAUAUAUGUACUAAAAUGCCACUCAUUAAAU